GACGAACGCUAGCGGCGUGCUUAACACAUGCAAGUCGAACGGAAAGGCCCUGCUUUUGUGGGGUGCUCGAGUGGCGAACGGGUGAGUAACACGUGAGUAACCUGCCCUUGACUUUGGGAUAACUUCAGGAAACUGGGGCUAAUACCGGAUAGGAGCUCCUGCUGCAUGGUGGGGGUUGGAACGUUUCGGCGGUUGGGGAUGGACUCGCGGCUUAUCAGCUUGUUGGUGGGGUAGUGGCUUACCAAGGCUUUGACGGGUAGCCGGCCUGAGAGGGUGACCGGCCACAUUGGGACUGAGAUACGGCCCAGACUCCUACGGGAGGCAGCAGUGGGGAAUAUUGCACAAUGGGCGGAAGCCUGAUGCAGCAACGCCGCGUGCGGGAUGACGGCCUUCGGGUUGUAAACCGCUUUCGCCUGUGACGAAGCGUGUGUGACGGUAAUGGGUAAAGAAGCACCGGCUAACUACGUG
rnacentral:rRNA from 1 species